AUGGGACUAUGGGAGUUCAUCCUGCGCGGCGGCGGCCGGCGGUUCAUCAAGCGCAAGGGCAGCGACGCCGGCGAGGCUGGCAGGGCAAUGGAAGAGCUGAGAGGUUCUCUCUACAAUGAAUUUCAUACUUCGGAAGGGGCUAAGCGACAGCAGCAGAGGUUUUGUGGCCCGGGUGUCGCGCUAACAUUCAACUUUGUGGUUUCUGUUGGGAUCAUCAUGGCAAACAAAAUGGUGAUGGGUAGUGUUGGGUUUAACUUCCCAGUUGCACUGUCUCUAAUUCAUUACAUAGCUGCCUGGGUCCUCAUGGCUGUCCUGAGGGCAUUAUACUUGAUGCCCAUCGCUCCUCCUUCAAAAUCCACUCCUUUCUCCUCAUUAUUCGCUUUGGGUGCUGUGAUGUCUUUUUCCACUGGACUUGCUAAUAUCAGCUUAAAGCAUAAUAGUGUAGGGUUUUAUCAAAUGGCUAAGAUAGCUGUAACUCCAACCAUAGUUGCAGCAGAAUUUAUUCUUCUCAAAAAAGGUGUUUCCUUUCGAAAGGUCAUCACACUAGUUAUAGUGUCAUUUGGUGUGGCUGUAGCAACUGUUACUGAUUUGGAGUUCAACUUUUUUGGUGCUUGUGUAGCAAUAGCUUGGAUCAUUCCUAGUGCUAUAAACAAGAUCCUGUGGUCAAAUCUGCAACAGAGUGGAAACUGGACUGCUCUUGCGUUGAUGUGGAAGACAACCCCAAUUACGAUAUUUUUCUUUCUUGUCCUGAUGCCUGUGAUGGAUCCUCCGGGAUUGUUGGCUUUCAACUGGAAUUUCAAUAACAGCUGUGCAAUUAUGAUAUCUGCUUUGCUUGGUUUUCUUCUUCAGUGGUCCGGUGCUUUGGCACUUGGUGCAACCUCGGCUCUAUCUCAUGUUGUGCUAGGACAAUUCAAGACUAUUGUCAUAAUGCUCUCUGGGUUUCUGGUAUUUAAAUCUGAUCCUGGACUCACCAGUCUUUAUGGAGCUGUCAUUGCACUAGGAGGCAUGUCAGUCUACACUUACCUAGGGCUAAAAGAGUCAACCACCGGUGGUAAGAGUAUUCCAUCAACAUCUAGGCAGAGUUCUCUCUCAUUGAAGUCCAAGGUUAUAAUAGAUGGAGAAAAGCCAGAAACAAGACCUGUUGACUCUGUCUAA
rnacentral:rRNA from 1 species